UUUACUGACUGAGCAAUCUUUUUAUAUAUUUAUCUAGUUUUGCGCCAGAUAUUUUAGAUCUACACCAGAUGUUGUAGUUCCAGAUGUUUUAGUUCUACGCCAGAUGUUUUAGUUCUACGCCAGAUGUUUUAGUUCCAGAUGUUUUAGAUCUACACCAGGUGUUGUAGUUCUACCCCAGAUGUUGUAGUUCUACCCCAGAUGUUGUAGUUCUACGCCAGAUGUUGUAGUUCCAGAUGUUUUAGUUCUACGCCAGAUGUUGUAGUUCUACGCCAGAUGUUGUAGUUCUGCGCCAGAUGUUUUAGGUUUACGCCAGAUGUUUUAGUUCCAGAUGUUUUAGUUCCAGAUGUUUUAGUUCUGCGCCGGAUGUUGUAGUUCUGCGCCCGAUGUUGUAGUUCUGCGCCAGAUGUUUUAGGUUUACGCCAGAUGUUUUAGUUCCAGAUGUUUUAGUCAUACGCCAGAUGUUGUAGUUCUACGCCAGAUGUUUUAGUUCCAAAUGUUUUAGUUCUACGCCAGAUGUUUUAGUUCCAGAUGUUUUAGUUCUACGCCGGAUGUUUUAGUUCCAGAUGUUUUAGUUCUACGCCAGAUGUUUUAGUUCCAGAUGUUUUAGUUCUACGCCAGAUGUUUUAGUUAUAAGCCAGGUGUUGUAGUUCUACGCCAGGUGUUUUAGUUCUACGCCAGAUGUUUUAGUUCCAGAUGUUGUAGUUCUACGCCAGGUGUUGUAGUUCUACGCCAGGUGUUUUAGUUCUACGCCAGGUGUUGUAGUUCUAUGCCAGGUGUUGUAGUUCUACGCCAGGUGUUGUAGUUCUACGCCAGAUGUUUUAGUUCCAGAUGUUGUAGUUCUACGCCAGGUGUUUUAGUUCUACGCCAAGUGUUGUAGUUCUAUGCCAGGUGUUGUAGUUCUAUGCCAGGUGUUGUAGUUCUACGCCAGGUGUUUUAGUUCCAGAUGUUGUAGUUCUACGCCAGGUGUUGUAGUUCUACGCCAGAUGUUUUAGUUCCAGAUGUUGUAGUUCUACGCCAGGUGUUUUAGUUCUACGCCAAGUGUUGUAGUUCUAUGCCAGGUGUUGUAGUUCUAUGCCAGGUGUUGUAGUUCUACGCCAGGUGUUUUAGUUCCAGAUGUUGUAGUUCUACGCCAGGUGUUGUAGUUCUACGCCAGGUGUUGUAGUUCUACGCCAGGUGUUUUUGGUCUACGCCAGAUGUUUUAGUUCCAGAUGUUUUAGUCAUACGCCAGGUGUUUUAGUUCUACGCCAGGUGUUGUAGUUCUACGCCAGGUGUUGUAGUUCUACGUCAGGUGUUUUAGUUCUACGCCAGAUGUUUUAGUUCCAGAUGUUUUAGUCAUAUGCCAGGUGUUGUAGUUCUACGCCAGGUGUUGUAGUUCUAUGCCAGAUGUUUUAGUUCUACGCCAGAUGUUUUAGUUCCAGAUGUUUUAGUCAUACGCCAGGUGUUUUAGUUCUACGCCAGAUGUUUUAGUUCCAGAUGUUUUAGUCAUACGCCAGGUGUUGUAGUUCUACGCCAGGUGUUGUAGUUCUACGUCAGGUGUUUUAGUUCUACGCCAGGUGUUGUAGUUCCAGAUGUUUUAGUCAUACGCCAGGUGUUGUAGUUCUACGCCAGGUGUUGUAGUUCAACGCUAGAUGUUUUAGUUCUACGCCAGAUGUUUUAGUUCCAGAUGUUUUAGUCAUACGCCAGGUGUUGUAGUUCUACGCCAGGUGUUUUAGUUCUAUGCCAGGUGUUGUAGUUCCAGAUGUUUUAGUCAUACGCCAGGUGUUUUAGUUCUACGCCAGGUGUUGUAGUUCUACGCCAGGUGUUGUAGUUCUACGCCAGGUGUUGUAGUUCUACGCCAGGUGUUUUAGUUCUACGCCAGGUGUUGUAGUUCUACGCCAGGUGUUGUAGUUCUACGCUAGAUGUUUUAGUUCUACGCCAGAUGUUUUAGUUCCAGAUGUUUUAGUCAUACGCCAGGUGUUGUAGUUCUACGCCAGGUGUUUUAGUUCUAUGCCAGGUGUUGUAGUUCCAGAUGUUUUAGUCAUACGCCAGGUGUUUUAGUUCUACGCCAGGUGUUGUAGUUCUACGCCAGGUGUUGUAGUUCUACGCCAGGUGUUUUAGUUCCAGAUGUUUUAGUCAUACGCCAGGUGUUGUAGUUCUACGCCAGGUGUUUUAGUUCUACGCCAGAUGUUUUAGUUUCAGAUGUUUUAGUCAUACGCCAGGUGUUGUAGUUCUACGCCAGGUGUUGUAGUUCUACGCCAGAUGUUUUAGUUCCAGAUGUUUUAGUCAUA